rnacentral:lncRNA from 1 species
GCAGUGGUAACCUUUAGUUAUUAUUUAAUAGAAUUAUGCUAAUGAGAUAAAGCAAACAUGAUGAUGUCUGUGGUUGUUUGCUUGUCUAAUCUAAAAGAUAACAUGCUUUUGCCAUUUUACUCUUUGUCUACAGUGAAUCUUUAAAGAAAUGAAGAGACGAAAGGUAGGAAAAAAAAGUUCAUUUUCCUGUUGUUAUCAGGUUUGGUGGGAAAGAAUGUUAAAAAUCUAAGCAAAAGUUUAAAUCAGGAUGAUGAACAGAUUCAAUAUGUCCAUGCUUUCUCUUUCCCUGAUAGCCAAAAUAAUUAAGAGUUGGCUGUUUGACAUGCUGCAAAUGUCACAUUUAGUCAAUAGAAAACAGUCAUUAUUACUGUGCAGUGAAGUGUUUCAUGAGCAAAUGCUGAACAGGUAGAAAAAGGAAAUGGACUGUACUUUGAUGGAAACACUAAACCUAAUCCACAGUAGAAAUUGGCAAGUUAAGAACAAUCUUCUCAACAAAAUCGUUAAAAAAGGAACUGUAUGAUAUUUUAUUGUAUACCUUGUCUAGAUCACUUGGUUAAGUCUGGAGUUAUCGAAACACUAUAUUUAGAAAGUUAAAUUUUUGUUGUUGUUAGGGCAAGUGGAGAUAUUGUAAUUGAGAUGGUAUUAAUCAUAGAAGUUUUCUAGAAGGCAAGAAAGGGCAGAAUACCAUUAAUUCCACGAAUUGUAGAUCUUGUUGAAAGCAUACCAUCUUUCUUUGCAAAAUAUAUUUCCAUGAAAUCCAUACACAGUUCAUAGGAUGUGUCAAAUUAAAAGGCUUCAUUGUCAGCUUGGUUUCAGAUGGUGUACUUCAGUGUCAUUUGACAGAGAAUCUUGUUAAUUAUACUCUAUUUGACCAGACAGACCAAUACAAAAUUAUAAGUCAAAAUGAAAGUGAGGCCUUAUUUCUGUCAUCCAGUAAUUUGUGAUUUCUAUUUUUUUUUUAAAUAUCAAAAUUGAAAUGACUGCCAUUCGCUAAUUUUGUGUGCCUUAUAGUAAUACCCUCCAAUCCCCACUUAUAAACUGAGACUCAUCCAAAUUUAAUAGCAACAUUUAGGCAAACAGCAGAGUGACAUUUUCUGGGACUCAAGUAUUUCCUAGUACUGGGUCACAAGUCUUCAGUAUCUCCUUCCAAUAAUAAACAUAAAGCUAAUUUCCUGUUCUCUCCUGAGUGUGAAAUAUUUGUCACUCACUUAGCUGUUCCCUUUGGGCCAGAGGACCCAGCCUCAUUUAAAUGAGUCAUUUUGUGAGGUUCUGAAGCAAUGUGCUGGUGAAAAAAAAGAAAAAAAAACUGUUCUAAAAGGGUUGUCAUCAUGGUUUAUACAGCUAAUUGAUGAUGGCAAAUCUUAGUGCCCUCAAGAGGCAGACACUUGAGUAAAAGUGAGCAAAACAGAGCUGCCACAUCCACGGUUUUCAUGCAGCUUUCCAACGUGUUUGUUUUAAUAACCUAUUUUUUAAAAAGAAAUCUGUAUAAAAACAAUUUUUUUCUGAAAUACAAAGGCAAGAAAACCCAAAUUCUUUCUGACUUUGUAAGGUACACAAUGAUCUGAUAUGAUGUGAAACAUCCAGAAUAUUAUACGAAGUUGAAUUUAAGUAGUCCUUAGUGGACCUAGAGCUAGAGAGCCAGACCAUCUUUCUAUCUAUAGAUGUUUUAAUACAAAUUUUACUAUAGAAUUUAAAUACUUAAAAGGAUUUUAAGAAUGAAAAUAUGUGGGCAGAGGAUCUUCUUAUCCAGUGCAAAAUGGUGAUAAUAUGGACUCCAUGGUGAGGAGAGGGAGGGGUUGCUUCCAGGCAUCAUUAUCAUCAUCAACGCACGCACACACACACACACACACACACACACACACACACACCAUAAUGGAUUAAAUAGGUCUAGAGCAAGAUAAUUUAAGAUAGUUUACUUUUUCCAAAGUUAAAAUCCCUUCCAGUAUCUCCAACUGCACUUUCCUUUUCCCAUAGUUUCCUUAGAGUUGGCAUCUCUCCGGGCCAGACAAAACUGAUGGGUAGGGCUUGUCUUUGCAUUUUCUGAUUUGGUAUCAUAUUUUCCAGGCUUUCUUGCUGUCUCCACUGACAAGAUCUCCUCUUCUUUUUUUAUUUUUUUUAACGUUUAUUUAUUAUUGAGAGACAGAGAGAGACAGAGCAUGAGCAGGGGAGGGGUAGAGAGGGGAGGAGACACAGAAUCCAAAGCAAGCUCCAGGCUCUGAGCUGUCAGCACAGAGCCUGACGCGGGGCUCUAACUCACAAACUGCGAGAUCAUGACCUGAGCCGAAGUCAGACGCUUAAUCAACUAAGCCACCCACGCGCCCCAAGAUCUCCUUUUGUUUGAUGUUGUCUCUUGAGCCUGACAUCUUCAUCUCAGGCAACAUUCUAUUCUUCUAACUUCCGCCAGACAUUAUUUGUUCUGUGAGUUCUCUCAAAGUCCUCAAGGGUGACUGAAGACCAAUAUGGAGUACGAUGCUUGGUGCUAAGAUUUCAAAGGACACUUAUGCCUUGGUGUGUUUCCAGGCCUCUAUUUUAAAAGCCCAUUUGGGGCCAAAGUUUUGUAAUCCAAAGGAUUGAUUCUCAUAGCGAAAGUUGCAGAUCUGUGGCAAGAUGGGUCUUUGUUUCCUUAAAAUAUGCCUCCUACAUGAGUGCCUACUCCACUUGGUCUCUGGGAAGCCACCUUUCCUCCUACUUAAACAGUAACUCACACAGGCUCCUACCACAAUCUGGAAUACAUCUUCAGUGCAGGUGGGUGGAUUGCCUACUGCUUUUCUAUGGCAGGAGCUCUGGCCAGGGGCUUCUCAAGAAGCAUGACUCAGUGCUAACUUUAGUAAGAGGUCAUUGCUGACUCUGUAAAAUUUGCAGACACUUAAGGCAUCAGCUGUUUUCUUCUCUGUCUUAACAGCUUUAUCCUUCCUCGUGCGUAGUUUCAUAGAGGAGGCAUCAUCAGAAGCAGCUAAAGUGACAACAGUGGGUUAACCAGACAAUUUCAUACUAAAUCUUCCUUUUCCUCUAUGGCAGACUCUUUUCCAAGUGUGGAGUUGCUGUACACAGGAUAGAUGAUCUCUUAAAAUCUUGGAGAGAACAUCUUUCAACUGUGUUUGUGGGGAAUAAACAUGACACAGAAAAAGAAAAUCUGGGACACUCUUCUUUCUUGACUGCCUGGUUGCCUGACUUCCAAAAACCAGUUGGAGCUAUAAAUGUUAAAUUUGGCUUAAAGAAGUCCUCAGUCAGAAAUACUACCCUGAAUUUCAAAAAGGAAAAAAAAAAUUAAAACUUUUAUUAAAAGUUAAUAGUGGUUAAAUUUACAAGUCUGUGCGUGUGUAAAUUCAACACUUCAAUCUGCUAAUUUGCCAAGGCAUAAUUUACUCACAGUCCAUAAACAGACUGAGGUGCUCAGAGAGAAUCAUGUGGUCUUCUCAAAAUUUAUGGAAGAUGGAAAGAAUCAGUUCCCACCUUCAGGGAGUUUGCAGUCUAAGAGGUAAAAAAGAUCAUGAUGUACAAUUUGUAAGCAGAUACUAGUAUAAGCAAUCUGGCAAAUAUUGAGGGGCUUAAUUAAGAAUUAGGCUUGCAAGUUGGGGCUUCUUGUAUUCUGAGAUGGGUUGUCUGAAUUAUUACUUUAAUCAUGGGAAGGAUUUGACACUUUUAGUGGACGAGCUGACAGCUGUUUCCAUGAUUUGAGCUCUUUAGAAAGCUGUAGGCUCCAGGAGCCUGUGGAUUAUUGUAGAAAAGUGAAGCUAAAGCAGAUUUUAUGGGAGUAGGAGGGAGGAGACGCAGAGAUUGUAGACGUCAAGGACAUAGCGGUUCAUAAUUUACAACCCAGAUACAAAAGAUCUGAGUUUGUUCUCGGGAGAUUUUAGAGAUAUUUAAAGAGAAUGGGAAAAAUUUCUCCUCUUAGGAAGGCAGUGCGUAUUUAUUAUAGAAAGCUUGUAAGCUCUAGAAAGGCAAACAUUAGAAUAAAAGUUUCUUCUGAUCCCACCAAAGGCAACCACUAUUAGUGUAUUGAUAUUUAUCCUGUACUUUUUUUUUCUAUACAGAUAUUUCAUUUUUCUUUCAUUUGAAUGGUAUCAUUCUUACAAAAUGUGCUUUUUGAACUUCUUUUUUUCAUUUUACCCUGUCUCCUGAACAUCUGAAAAGAGAUUUCUGAGGAAAGGGAUUUGAGAUCAGCUGAAUAGGAAAGGAACUAAAGAGACAGCAGCUGGUAACAAAGAAACAGCAACGAAAAAUGUCUUACAGUCCACUGGGAACAUACAUGCCAGGGUGGAUCUUAUUAUUUUAUUUUUUUUUUCAAAGCAUUUAAUGAGUCAAUGUCUAGAGGUCAGCAAAGAUUUGGGAAGCAAAGACUGAUUCAGGUCUCAGCUCCUUCCCUUACCAGCUAAGUGCCCUUGACAAAUUCCUAAACAUCCCUGAACCUUAGAUUUAAGAACAUUAACUGCACAUUUUAUUCUGAGUCAGUCUACACUCACAUUCUUAUCAUCACAAUAACUUUGUUGGGAGGGAAUCAGUAACCGUGCUUUCCAGGUGAAUAAUUAGCAGCUUAUAGGGCUAUUAUUUUUCAACACAUCCCAAGCUGCAAUCCAGUUCUCUUUCCCCAGCAUUCUGGGAGUCUCUUGACCUCUUCUCUUGUCUCAUGGGGGAAAAAAAGGUGCUAAGAUUAUGUGUGCCCUUUACCUCAUUGUGAGUUGUGAGGAUAUAUAACCUAAUGCACGUGAAACCUUUUUUUUCUUUUUUAAAAUAAUUCUUUUUUGCAUAUGAAACUUUUUGUAAGCUGCUAAGCACAGCAGAUAAAUUUCAUUCUCUUAGGAUCUUAAAUACUAUUUCAAACUCUCCACUUGAGUGCGUGCUCUGAUCUCUCUGUAACCAAUGCUUCAGGCAUCUGGAUCUGUGUAGUCCCAGAGAGGUAUAUUCAGGUUACCUGAGCACGAGCUUUACCUGGCAUAUGAGUAUGCAAUGGCCCUUUCAUUUCUCCCUUUUCCUCAACAGCUGUGCAUUGCGACUCAGUAAAAGCUGGUGUCAGCCUGCAUACCGAUGGCCAACCCAAAAUUUCAACAAGUUAAGACAUAGAGUCUGUUGCAAUGUGGACAAAAAUAAACCACAUUCCACACCAAGUCCAGACACUUUGAAGAAAUCUAAAAUGAUUUUUAAAAUAUUGCUUUAGAUAAAUAAAACUUGAGCUAGUAAAGGAGGCCGUUUCCAGAUGUCCAGCCAGGAAACCCCAGGUGCAAGUGAAUCAGCAGACGUGUCGUCUCAUCUGAGACGGUGCAAGAUCCGUGUGUCCACACGCAGCCAGGGUGUGGCUGAGCUCGUGGCCCUGCCUUCCUUCAGAUGUGGCCAGGCUUGGGCUGAUUCAGGGAGAAACACUGCUCAUCGAGUCAUGAGGCUGUUCUGGAGCUUUGCUGGGCUUUGCUUGGGUAACUUGCCCAGGAUCCACAGUCCAGACCUGUAGCUGAGUCCAAAGUGACAGAGCAGGUGGUCUCCUGGGGGUGAUGGGGGUGGUGGCAGGGGAGGUGGGGCUGGGGAGUAGCAAGAUACUUUUCAAAAGGUUCAGUCAGUGCAGGGAGGUUUUGGAGAAGAAUUUAAAAUUCAUCAGACUGACCUAAGAACAGACACAAAUACGAGGGAGAUUUAUUAAAGGCCCUCAUCUCUGUUUCCACUUGGCCACUUUCAUCAGGUAGAGGCACCACUCCAAGGUGAUCUUCCAGCUCACUUGAACAGCUGAUUUAUAUUUUAUCCUUGUGAAAUUUCCCUUUAAAGUCUGACGUGCUCUUGGCAGCUCAUGAUCUACUGAACUGGUCCAUUCAUUCGGGCCAGUCUGUCUUUUGGUGAAUAGUUAACAAGCUUUCUGGUGUCAGAUGCUAUGGUAGGCACUGGGCACACAGUGAAUAAGAGACACUGACUCUGGGAUGUUGUAGUAAUUUUCUGUUGUUGUACAACAAAUUACCACAAACUGGCUAAACCAGCACUCAUUUAUUAUCUUGCACUUCUGUAGAUCAGAAGUCUGGGCAGGGUCCUCUGCUCAAGGUCUCACAAGGCUGCAAUCAAGGUAUUGGCCGGAACUGCUAUCUCACCAGAGGCUUUGAGUUCUUCUCCAAGCUCCGUGGUUGUUGGCAGGAAUCAGUUCCUUGCAGCUGUGAAACUCGUAGCUUGCAUUUUUUAAGGCCAGCAGGAGAGCGUUUAGGGAACACCUCAGUGCUCUUCUAAAGGGCUCAUCUUUCAGUCCAGCCUGCCUAGGAUAAUAGCUCUUUAAUUAAAUGAAAGUCAGCUGAUUAGGGACCUUAACUACAUCUAGAAAAUUCCCUCACCUUUGCCAUAUGACGAUGCAUAAUCAUUAGGGUGAUGUCCCCUUCUAUUUACAGCUCCUGCCCACACUCAAGGGGAGGCGAUUAUACCAGGCUUGUAUAUCAGGGUGUGAGAAUCUUGGGAGCUAUCUCAGAAUGCUAUCUACCACAAAUAUUAAAUAGGAAAUUGCAGGGAAAAAAUAUUAAGCAAUUAGGACCGGGCAAAAUUCUGCAAAGGAGAAUUAUGGGCUCCUACCAGAGUAAGAGGGGAGCACAGCCUCCUCUGAGGGGCUGGGGAGACUACCUGAGACCUGCAGACGGGCCAGCAUCAGCAAGGCCAACAUGGAAAUGGGUGGUAAAAGGGAGGGAGCAGAGCUGGAGUGAGAGGAGAUGAAUGGGUUAGUAAUGGAGCCCUGAAAACAAAGCAAAGUAAAAUCAAAGUGAAUCUCUGGCCUGCCCUAUUAUUCCCAGAAAGUGAAGUUGAGCAUUUUCCAUAUGAUAGAAAGCAGGCAACAGAUGAAAAUGUCUCCCCUUUCCACUGCCUGGAACCCAGGGGUGUCUGUCUGUAGCAGGGUCUGGGUUUCUCCUGCAACAGGGAUGUGAGGAGCCACCAAAGAUCAAGCUCAAUUCUAGGAGGAGGUAGCAUUGAGCAGGUUUAGUGCAUAUUUUUCAGUCUGGCAGAAAUAUCUGUAAGCCUGAACUUUUGGGUGGUUCCAUUAAUUCCAGUGCUGAAUUAGAAAACUAAAGCAUCUUUUGUAUGUCUUUGAACACUAAGACAGCCCUCUGAUCAGAGUAAAUGGAGAAAAGAACUUUAAAAAUGCAUAUAUUCAAUUUGGAAAUCAGAAUGCUAUUGUCAGCAGUCUGACAAAACUAACAGAUGGGAAGAUUCAUGCCCACCCCUUAAUAAAUAUGUGCUGAUUUUGGCCAAGAGUUGUAAAAUCCCACAAGGUCUCUAAUGUACGCCCUCCCCUCUCAUCCCAAUCAGCCAAAUUCAACUUGUUUGCCAAAAUAGGGGGAAAAAAGAUGAAAUGACUAAAAAUGACCCCAAAACACAUGAGAACCUAAGAUGCAUGCCAAAUUUUAAAAUGGAGAGGGUUUUCAUUUGAUUAAAUUAUAGGUCUCUUUUCACCAAGCUCCCUUUCUGUAAUUUUUAAUGAAAUGUCUUCUACUGGAAAGACUCUGGAAAGAUGAAUUGGAAUACACAUGUUUGAGAACUAAACUACAAAAAUUAUACCCAUGGACCAACUUUACCAGAAACUUCAAUGGAAGACAAACACACCACAGAGGUAGUAAAUCCCUCUUCCUCUCAAAUAGGGAUUAUAGAAUAAUCCCUAUAUCAAAUAUAUCAAAUAUACCUCCAUGUGAAAAAAAGGCUUCUGUGCUAGGAGAAUGAUAAAAUAGCCCUGGGCCAUAGUUCUUCCAAAACCCAAAUGGCCUGUCUCUUCUUGUGUCUCACAAUGUCACUUUUCCUUUGGACAAGUGGCCCAGACCUUUAUUCCCCACCACGUCUUCUUCACUGACCUGUGACAUGGGGGUGAACAGACUAGAGACUGAUUCUUAGAAGCAUCUAGGAAUGGCCAUCUAAGAGUCAGCAGGCAGCCUCUCUUCUUCCAAUUGUGUUGCGAUGACUAAUUCCUAAACACAGGGUUAUGAGUCACCCCCAAAUUCCCUGAGACCCUGAUGACCAUGUUAGGUAGGCACAGAGGAGAGACUCUGAGACUCAGCUCAAAUCUGCUGUUAUUCUGCUAAUAGUUCUGCUAUUAUUUGAAACGCCGUUUAUAGCAGGCAGUGUCCUCGUGUUGAUAUUGCAGGCACUAUUUUCUUCUUUCUCCUACCAGUGGACCCCAUUUACUAAGGUUUUGUUUCCCUAACUCACCUGAUCAUAAAAAUUCCUGGGAGUUGUUCUCAGGAUUCUCUUUUGGAGACUCUGAUUUAGAGAUUGGGUCCAGGGAUCUGUAUUUUUAACAGACUCUCCUGAGGUAUUCUGAUAAUCAAGUGAAUAUGAGAAACAUCCUACCAGGGAUGUUCAACUGAGUAAAUUUCCAUUCUUUUGCUUCCCCAAUAGGAUUUUAUGGAGAAACAUUUGUUAAAAAUGUAUUUAUUCAUUUUGAGAGAGAAAGAGAGAGCACGAGCAGGGGAGGGGCAGAGAGAGAGAGAGAGAGAGAGAGAGAGAGAGGUGGAGAGAGAACUCCAAAAGCAGGCUCUGCACCAUCAGCACAGAGCCCGACACGGGGCUAUAACUCAUGAACGGUGACAUCAUGACCUGGGUCGAAAUCAAGACUUGGACGCUUAACCGACUGAGCCAUACAGACGCCUCUAUAGAGAAACUUUUAAGAGGAAAAGAGUUCCAAGAUGGGAAGUUUAUGGCCCAUAGAAUAAAGUUAGAAGUAGGAGGUACCAGCUAUUUGUUUUGUUUGAUGGGCGUGUCUGAAUCAUAGAUCUGCUAACAAACUUAACUUCCCAUGCAAUCAGCUUCCUAGCUAUAGAGUAAGCUUCUCAAAAAAUCUGUUAAUUCAUUCAUGCACUCAUUUGACAAGCAUCUCCUGAGCAUUUGGUCUGGGCCAGGCACUGAUCUUGGCACUAAGGAUACAAUGGUGAAAGACCUGGUUCCUCCUUAGGGCACUCAUACUCUGAGUAAAUUUUAGUCUUUUCUCAAACCGUAGUCCCAUAUAGUACCAAUAAAAAUAUCGUGUCCUUUUCAGAUAACACCCUGGAAAGCAUAUUGUAGAAUCACACAUGUGCACAAUUCACCUCUUCCAGAUAUUGAUUGAAUGCCUAUCAUGCAUCAGAUUCUGUUAUAGGUACUUAGGGUACACCCGUGAACACAACAGGCAAAGGUCUCUGCCCUCAUGGGUCUGACAUUCUAGGGGGAGGAUGAGACAGUAGAUAAUAAACCUAACAAAUUCACAUCAUGUAAUGUAAGGGCAUUAGUAUUAUGAAAGAAAAAAAUUACUCAAGGAAACAGCGAUUAGGUAUGGGAGGAGGUAGUCACAAGAAGGCUCAUUUUUGGAGCAAUGUUUUUAAAAAGAUUUGAAGAAGGUCAAGGAUUUUGCUGCACACAGUCUGGGAGAAGAGCAUGUUAAGCAGAGCAAGCAGCAGAGCAAAGACACUGAUCAAGGAGAGACCUGGUGUGUUUGAGGAGGAGCAAAUGAGAGAUUGCCAUUGAGGUAAUACGGACAGGGGAGUGGUAAGAUCAGCUAAGGCAUCCGAGGCCAUUUGGAGUGGGAUGGGGACACAUUGAAGGGUUUUGCGCAGACUGGCAUGAUGUGACAUGUUUUAAUAGGGUCACUGAUGUGUUGAGAUUCAAUUGUAAGGAGACAAAUGUGGAAAACAUCAGAAAACCAUUUGGAGAGCAUUUGGCAGUAUCUAGAUCUGGCAAAACUGAAAAUGUGAAUACCCUAGAACUCAGUAAUUCCAGGUUCUCUAGGAGAGAACCCGUCUCAAUGUACACAAGGAAAUAUGUGCAGGAAUAUUCACUGUGGGAAUGUUAGCAGUGACAAAAAAUCAAAAUAGGCUCAAUGCCCAUCAAUAGGAAAAUGAAAUUUAUAAAUUAUAGUAGCUCAUACAGUGGAAUGCUAUCGAGCAAUUAAAAGGAAUGAACUAGAGUUAUGUUGUCAAGGUUGGUAUAUUCCUUAAACAUAAAAUUGAGCAAUAAAAAUCUAGUUGCAGAAGGAUAGUUACAAUAUGAUGUCAAGUUUAAAACACCACAAUACUAUUUAUUUUAUGGCUAUGUACAUACUUAGUAAAACAUUUAGAAUAUCAAUUGAAGACUACCCAUUUCAUGAAAAUAAUUGCAUCUGGGGAGGGAGGGAGGACAAAGAGUUUGGGGAAAGGUAUAGAAAGAAUUCCAAAUAUAGUGUCCAUCUUUCCUUCCUUCCUUCCUUCCUUCCUUCCUUCCUUUUUCUCUCUGCCUCCCCCCACACCUUCCUUCCUUCCUUUCUUUCUUUCUUUCUUUCUUUCUUUCUUUCUCAUUUCUGAUUAAAAAGACUCAUGGGGGGGCGCCUGGGUGGCACAGUCGGUUAAGCGUCCGACUUCAGCCAGGUCACGAUCUCGCGGUCCGGGAGUUCGAGCCCCCUGUCAGGCUCUGGGCUGAUGGCUCAGAGCCUGGAGCCUGUUUCCGAUACUGUGUCUCCCUCUCUCUCUGCCCCUCCCCCGUUCAUGCUCUGUCUCUCUCUGUCCCAAAAAUAAAUAAACGUUGAAAAAAAAAUUAAAAAAAAAAAAAAAGACUCAUGGGGCACCUGGGUUGCUCAGUCAGUUAAGCUUCUGACUCUUGAUUUUGGCUCAGGUCAUGAUCUCAUGGUUCAUGAGAUUGAGCCCUGCCUUGGGGAGCAAUGAGACAGCAUAAAGCCUGCUUGGGAUUCUCUUCCUUUCUCUCUGCCCCUCCCCGCUCAUAUGCUAUCUCUCUCUCCCUCUCUCUCUGUCUCUCUCAAAGUAAAUAAACUUUGUAAAAAAAGACUCAAACUUUGGAAAAUAUUAAAACUUCUAUAUGUUUCAUUAAAAUGGAAUCCAUAAAAAUCAAUAAAAUAAAUAACAAACAGAAAUAUUUUAUUAAACUAGAGAAUAAAGAGUUUAUUCACUUGACAAUUGAUUUCUAUCUCUCUCUCCAAAACAGCAUGCAUAAUAUUUAUGCAUUCCGUGGAGUUUUCAUUUUGCCUGUAUUUACAAUCAAAACUGUAAAUUUCCUGUAAGGAUUCUUUUAAAAAACAUCUUUCUACCUAGAGAAUAUGUACUAUUCUUCUUAAUAUUUAAUGAUCUUUACAAUAUUUGAGGUGCACGGCAGCCAUCUGAGUUAAAAACAAUGCUUGCUGACAUGUAACUGGAGCAGAAGGUUUCUCCAGCCAGGCCCCCUGGGUUUUUGGACCUGCAGUCACCCAUGGGAAUGGGCAGUUAGUGGCCCCAGUCUCACAGGCUCAGGUGAUUUUUUCCCUCUACUGUUUGUGGAAACAGGCUGGGAGAUUCAGGAUCCUUAACUAUUAUUUGGAUAGCUGUAAUGAUAUUAGCAGAGGAACAACUUGAGCAAAGUGUAUUUUAGCAAGUGACAAGUGUGUUUGCUGUAAUAUAUUGACAAUAAUUUUUCUUCUUCUCUGUCUCUCUUUUCCUCCUGCCUUUGGAGAAGAGGCUUCUUUUAAAACAAGUGUUCUCAUAUUGGAGCGUGUUAUGGCAAGGAGCCCAGAAGAGGUGGAUUUAGUGCACUGAAGUCCUGUUUUCAAUUAUCUAGAAUCCACGAAACCACAGGCUUAGGUUUUAGAUGGGCCAAUUUAAACGUUUGCCUUUCCAAUGUAAAUGUAUAAAAUAUAAGCUGUUCAGCAGUACUGGGGUCUUUCGCGUUGACAUGGGUCCCAUCUCUCUAGCAGAGCGCCUGCUGCAAGGGCUUAUCACAAAAACAGGUUUAUAGGGCCUUCAUUAAUAUGUCUGCAAGCUGACUAGACACUAGAAUGUGCAAUUCAUUUUUCUCUAAGCUAUUGCCCACCAUCUAUAUUCAAUUUAAUAUAUUUCAUUAUGCUAAUUUUGAAAAGAAGAUGAAUUUUUCUUCUUAUAAGUUCCAGCGCAUUUUCCAAAGACAAAGAAAAUCUGUUGCCGUUACCAGUGCUUUAUUAGAUUGUUGUAUAAGAAUUACCAUUUUAAUGUAGAAAUUUUCUAACUUGAGAUAGGAAAGGGAGUGGCACAAACAAUGGAAAGAUGAGAAAGCGAAAGGCAGAAAAAAGAAAAUCAUGGCUUGCAGAGCACUGAUGGAAGCAACCAUGAGUGGGUUUUCUGUUGGACCCCACCCAUGUCGGAGAAUCAAUAAGUUGGUCUGUGAUGGUAGUGGAACAUGCCUGAGCAAAACUUGACCUAGCUCUUUACUUGCAAAAAUGUCCGGUGUUGGGUCUGUGGAUUUGCAUUCUCUCACUCUCUCUCUCUCCCCCCACCACAAGUUUGUCAAGUUUCAUUUUAUUUUUUUUUAAGUUUAUGUAUUCAUUUUGACAGAGACAGAGAUAGUGCAAGUAGGGGAGGAGCAGAGAGAGAGGGAGAGACAGAGAAUCCCAAGCAGUCUCCUCAAUGUCAGCAUGGAGCUUGACACAGAGGUUGGAACUCACGAAAUCGUGAGAUCAUGACCUGAGCUGAAACCAAUAGUCGGACGCUUAACCUACUGAGCCAUCCCAGUGCCUCAUUCAAUGUUCAUUUUAGAUAAGCCUACAGGUAAGCUCCAUGGAAGCCACCAUAUUCAUUCAUGUUUUCUCUGGUAGUUUGGUAGUAGUUUGGGUCACAGCUCACCUAAAUCAUGUAAUAAGUCUGAGAGCAUCAGUUUCCUCACAUGUAAUGGAAGUGAUCAUGCUUAUCCUGUUGACUUCAGACCGUUGUCUGAAGAAGUCAGUAGGAAUGGUGAAACUACCUGUAAGUGCUGCUGUGAUAUUUACAUUCUGAGUUACAUUACUAUCAAUAAUAAAAUAACAAUUCAGACCUAAUUUAUCUCACUAGCACAAUGGAUGGCCCCAUGUCCUGUCGAAUAGGGUAGCCAUGAGCCAAUAUAGCCAAUAAAAUAGGAAUGAAUUAUAAAAGUAAAUAAUAUUUUAAAAACCCAGUUUCUCAGUCACAAUAGCUACAUUUUAAGUGUCAAUAGCUACUUUUUAGAUGGCAUAGAUAUUAGGACAUUUCCAUCAUUGCAGAACAUUUUGUGAAUAGCACUGAUCUAAAGUUUUAAGGCACUUUCAAUUUGCUUGAAUAUAGAACUACAUACAAGUACCCUCCUUUAUUAGCAGGCUGUAGCUAUGCAUUAGGGAAGAUUCUUUUUUUUUUUUUUUAACUAACUUUGAAUCUUAGCUAUGAUCCAUCUAAGAGUAAUUUAGAGCCCCAGCAAUCAUUUUUUUAAAGGUGAGUUUUCUGUAACUCAUUGCGACAAACACUGAAGUAAUAAAAUGUUCUAUACAUCAUAACAAAAUCAUUCUCUAGCCUUGUUCAGUGGAAACUCAUUUAAAUCUGAUUUACUGUGACUUGGAAUUUAAGACUUAAGAUGAUAUUAAUGAGCUGCUUUUGGUUACAUCAUCUUCGUGGAUUGUCAAAUGGAGCCUGCACUGAAGUCACUCAGGACAGGUCUGUUUUAAAAUAAUGAAAUUUACUGUUUCCAAGUAACUUACCAGAUAACACAACAGAUAGAUCAUGAGAGGCAUGAAUUUGGCAUUUCUUACCCACUGCUAGCACGAGCUUGGAUGAGUGUUUUGCAUAGUAGAGAAGCCUUAUAAGAGCAUUUAAGGAGAACCAACAUGGGGCAUGCUCAGUUCAUGGAUAACAGCCUGAAAUGCAGAGAUGUUUUCCUUGUCUCAUACUUAAGUACUGUUUAAUACAUCUUUAUUACCUUUUUAUAUUAUAAAUAUAUGAGGCAUCAGUCAUUUGUAAACAUUAUUUCAGGUUACAAAUUAAUAUCUUUGGUAACACAUGCCUUUCAUGUUUACCACUUACAUAUAAAAAAAUCCAUGAACACCGAUACAAGAUUUCUGACCUUUGUGCUUUGGCUCUAUAACAGAAAACUAAAUUACAAUAGGAGAAAGAUUCUCAUAAGGUCUUUAGCCAUUUGUUUAUUCUCACAAGAGAGUUUCUACCCCCACUGAAUCUAUGAUCUGAGAGUGUGAAGUCUAUGCAGUGAAGUCUAUGCAGAUCAUUGGGUCUUUGGGUCCCCAGAGGAGUCUUUGUGUCCCCUAGGUAGAAUGCACAAGGGACUUGAUGCUAACUUGUGGUGGGUGCUCCAUCCUGUCAAGAAGGCUGGGAUACCAAAGAAUUUAAUCAGGUUUAUAAAGAGAUGUUUGAGCCAGAGAAAAUAUGGCAGAGAAACAUAGGUAAAGGGGUAUUAUAGAAGAUUGUCUACACAGUGGGGGAAAAGCAAAUGCAGGUAAUGGUGUGAGAAAAUGAGUGGAACCCAUAAAGACAAUCUUCUUACUUCUUGCUAAAGAACGGGGUGCAAGAAAGAUAUAGAAAAAACUGAGGAAGCUGGUAAUCUUUUAUGAGAUGCUAUGUUCACAGAUGGAAAGAGAAGGCAGCACUGAGAAAGAAACUCAAGGUUGUGAAAACUUGAGAGACCAAAGAAGAGAACUAAGAAGUCAUUUUUGAAUACUGGCUAAUACCAAAGAUGAUUCACGCUCUUGGUGUUGAUGAGGAAAGGGAUAGAGGUUAAAAUCAGGGAUGAUUGUAGCCUUUUCUUCCUUUCCCCCUCCCUCCCUCCCUCCCUCCCUCCUUCUGAUUCUCCCUUCCUCCCUCCCUUCCUUCCUUCUUUACUUCCUCCCUCUCUUUCUUCUUUCUUACUUCCUCCCUCUUUCUUUUUUCUUUCUUUCUUUCUCUUUCUUUUCUUUCUUUCUUUCUUUCUUUCUUUCUUUCUUUCUUUCUUUCUUUCUCUUUCCUUCCUUCCAACACUUAGACCUCCUGGAUGUCAUUAAUCUUAGAAAAAGAGCAAUUUGAAAAUCAUCAGAAAAGAGAAUAUGAAAACUCUACCAUUUUCUUAGUGCAAUGGCAGUUUUUCACUAUUAAUCUGUGAAGUCUCAAAAAUUGUUCACUGAGUUGAUGAGGUAAGGGAAGGAAAGUGUAGUGGGAAACAAAGAUUCAAAUUUCUUCCAGUUAUUAUCAUGAGCAAAGGACUAAAGAGAUAUGUUUAGUACAGUAGAAACACUUAACAAAUGAUUUUGAUUCCAGAUCAACUAGGUUUAAGAAAAAUAGGAAAAACUGAGAUGCUCAAAUGAAUUGCUCAGUGUGUGGCCCCAGGAGGACAUGAGACCUCCUAAGUGGUUAUCUUAGUAUUUUUUUUAAGAAAACAUUUAAUAGAGAUGAAUUUCUCCUUGUCAAUAAGACAUACUGAAACAGAGAAAAAUUUUGAUCAAGGCAAAAUUAAAAGCACAAUAUUAAUCAUGAGGAUAAAACUAAACAUUUAAUGAAAUGUUACCUAACAAAUGUUAUAGUAAUAUGAUGAUUCACUGAAAUAAACUGAGUAGAUUCAAUUAUAUUCAAUUACAUUCAAUUAUAAAUAUAUUUUAUAAAUAUCUUAAGGCUCUCAUGGUGAUGUGAGAAAUCAAAAAAUUAUUAAUAAGAUUGUGGAGUAUACUUUUGGAAGAGGAGUUUUUGAGAUGUUUCUUUUAAUAACAAAAUGUGAACUAUUUUAAACUUUGAGGAAGUUCAAAGAAUAAUGUAAUGAAAAAAACCAAAGUAUAUAAUUAUUUGUAUUUUAAAAAAUAUAAAGUUUUGUUUUGUGUACUUUUGAUCUUUAUGUGAAAGGUAUGGGGGGCAUCUGGGUAGCUGAGUUGGUUAAGCAUCAAACUCCUGAUUUCGGCUCAGGUCACGAUCUCAUGGUUUCUGGGAUCAAGCCCCUGCAUUGGGCUCUGUGCUGAGAGUGCAGAGCCUGCUUGGAAUUCUCUCUCUCCUUAUCUCUGCCCCUCCCCUGCUCAUGCUCACUUUAUCAAAAUAAAUAAAUAAACUUUAUUUUAUAAAAAAGAAAUGGUACUGGGAGCACUAUUUUACAUACAAUUUUUUAUGGUCAACACUUUUAUUUUUUUAUUUUAUUAUUUUUUAAUAUGAAAUUUAUUGUCAAAUUGGUUGCCAUACAACACCCCGUGCUCAUCCCAACAGGUGCCCUCCUCAAUGUCCAUCACCCACUCCCCCUUCCCUCCCACCCCCCCCAUCAACCCUCACUUUGUUCUCAGCUUUUAAGAGUCUCUUAUGUUUUGGUUUCCUCCCUCUCUAACUUUUUUUUCUUCCCCUCCCCCAUGGUCUUCUGUUAAGUUUCUCAGGAUCCACAUAAGAAGGAAAACAUAUGGUAUCUGUCUUUCUCUGUAUGACUUAUUUCACUUAGCAUAACAUUCUCCAGUUUCAUCCACGUUGCUACAAAAGGCCAAAUUUCAUUCUUUCUCGUUGCCAAGUAGUAUUCCAUUGUGUAUAUAAACCACAAUUUCUUUAUCCAUUCAUCAGUUGAUGGACAUUUAGGCUCUUUCCAUAAUUUGGCUAUUGUGGAAAGUGCUGCUAUAAACACUGGGGGUACAAGUGCCCCUAUGCAUCAGUACUCCUGUAUCCCUUGGGCAAAUUCCUAGCAGUGUUAUUGCUGUGUCAUAGGGUAGAUUUAUUUUUAAUUUUUUGAGGAACCUCCACACUGUUUUCCAGAGCGGCUGCACCAGUUUACAUUCCCACCAACAGUGCAAGAGGGCUCCCGUUUCUCCACAUCCUCACCAGCAUCUAUAGUCUACUGAUUUGUUCAUUUUAGCCACUCUGACUGGCGUGAGGUGGUAUCUGAGUGUGGUUUUGAUUUGUAUUUCCCUGAUGAGGAGCGAUGAUAUGCUCAACAUUUUUAAAAAGAUUUGCCUUUAUCUUUCUCUCUCUCUCUACCUUUCUCCCCACUCUCUCUCCAUCUCCCAGCCUCUCUUCUCCCUACCUUUUUCUCUGUCUCUGUCUCUCUGUCCCUCUCUUCCUUGCUUAACUCCUAAUUCUGGCAGUCAGAAGUCUAGAAUCAAGGUAUUGGCAGGGCCAUGCUCUCUCUGAAGUCUCUAAGGGAGAACCAUCUUUGUCCUUCUAGCUUCUGGUGUUUGAUAGCAAUCCAUAGCAUUCCUUGGUGUGUAGACGGCACCACUCCAUUGAUAGGGAUAUGAUCUCCCUGUGUGUCUUCACAUUGUGUUUCUUCUGUGUCUGUUUCUCUGUCCAAAUAUUCCCAUUUUAAAAGGACACUAGGUAUGUUAUUAGGGACUGCCCUAAUAACCUAAUUUUAAUUUGAUUAUCUCUUCAAAGACCCUAUUUCCAAAUAAGCCUACAUUCUGAGGUACUGAGGAUGAGGCUUUUUUGUGUGUGGGGAGUGGGGGUAUACAUUUCAACCAUAACCGAUAGUUACUGUUUUAUUCUUAUUUUCUCCUUCCUCUUAUCUCAAUUUGGCAGUUGAUGGUUUUCUAAAAACUGGCUUUUCUCAACUAAGUUUUCCUAUUAUUAGCAGAAAAUUGUGAUUUUUCUAAAUCUCCAAUUUAAAUGUUAGAGUUUAUUUGUUCUUUCUUUGAUUUUUCUUGAUUGAUCUUGCCAGAAGUAUGUUUAGUUAAUUCAUCUUUCUAAAGAAUCACCUUUAGAUAUUCUUGACUUUCUCUUUAGUAUUUCUUUAUUUCAUUUUGGAGGAAAAAAACCAACCUUAACAAGAGUUCUCUUCUGGUGUAACUGACAUAUAAUAAAUUACACAUGUUUAAAGUGCAUUAUUUGAGAAGUUCUGACACCUAUUAUCUAUCUUCUAACUAUCAUCUCUCUAUUGAUCUAUUGAUCAUCUAUCUUUAUGUAUCUGUGAAACCAUCACUACAGUCAAGAUAACAAACCUAUCCCUAAAGUUACUUAAUGUUCCUUGGCAACCUUCCCUUCUGUCAAAUAUGCCAUUCCAGGCAGCCACUGAUCUGCUUUCUGUCAUAUCAGAAUAUUAUAUAAAUGGAAUCACACAAUGUGUACUCUUUUCGUGUAACAUAUUUCAAUCAGCAUAGUUAUUCUGAGACUCUUCAUGUUCUUUAUGUUCAAUAAUUCUUUUUAUGUGGAGUAGUAUUGCAUUACAUAGAUAUAUCAUUCACUUGUUGAUGGACAUUUGGGGUGUUCCUAGUUUUUGACUAUUACAUAUAAAUCUGGUAGGAUGUGUGAACAAGCUUUUUUUUUUUUUUUUUAACUAGCUUUAGUUUUCGUGGAGUGGUUUUAGAUUCACCGCAAAAUUGAAACAGAAAGCAUAGAGUUCCCAGAGUAACAUUUGUUACAUUGGUGAACCUACAAUGACAUAACAUUAUUACCCAAAGCCCAUAGCUUACACCAGGGAUCACUCUUGGUGCUGUACAUUCUAUGGCUUUUAAUAAGUACAUAAUGACAUGUAUCCACCAUUAUAGUAUCAUACAGAAUAGAUUUACUGCCCUAACAAUAAUCCCUUCCUAUGCCCAGGCAACCACUGAUCUUUUUACUGUCUCCAUGUCUUUUCUUUUCCAGAAUGCCAUAUAGUUGGUAUAAUACAGUAUGUAGCCUUUUCAGAUGGCUUCUUUCACUUAGUAACAUGCACUUGAGUUUCUUCCAUGUCUAUUUAUGGCUUGAUAGCUCAUUCCUUUUUAGUGAUGCACAAUACUCCAUUGUCUGGAUGUACUGCAGUUUAUUUAUCCAUUUGCCUACUGAAGGACAUCUUGGUUGCUUCCUAGUUUUGGCAGUUAUGAGUAAAGCUUCUAUAAACAUCAUGUGCAGAUUUUUGUGUGGACCUAAGUUUUCAACUCAUUUGGGCAAAUACCAAGGAGUGUGAUUGAUGAUCAUAUGUUUAAGUUUUUAAAGGAACUGCUGAACUUUCUUCCAAAGUGGAAUCCAUUUUGCAUUCCCACCAGCAAUGAAUAAGAGUUCUUGUAACUCCACGUUAUCACCACAUUUUGUGUUUUCAGUGAUUGGAUUUGGGCCAUUCUAAUAGGUAUCUAGUGGUGCAAGAGUCUUUUUGUGGACAUAUAUUUUUUCUUUUAGCUAAAUACCUAUAAUUAGAAUGCCUGGAUCAUAUGGCAGAUGUAUUUUAAAAAUUAAAAAAAACUGCCAAACUGUUUUCCAAAGUGGUUUUAUCGUUUAUAUCCCCACGAGAAAUCUAUGAGGGUUCCAGUUACUCCACACCCUUGCUAACAGUUGGUAUGACCAGCCUUCUAAUCUUAGCUCUUCUAAUAGGCAAGUAGUCGUGCCUCAUUGUGGUCUUAAUAUGCACUUUCCUCAUGCUCAUGAUGUUGAGCAUCUUGUCAUGUGGUUAUCUGUCAUCCGUAUAUUACAUUGGGUGAAGAAUCUGUUCAAAUUUGGUGAAGUGCUGCCCUGCCAGGAUUUUGAAUGGAAUUGUGUUGAGUCUAUACAUCAUUUUGGAGAGGAUUAAUAUCUGAAGAAUAUUGACUCUUUUAAUCCAUGCUCACAUCUCUUUUCAUUUAGAUCUUCUUUAAUUUCUCUCAGCAAUGUGUUUUAGUUUCCUUUGUGUUGAUCUUGCACAUCUUUUGUUAGACUUCUCCCUAAGUAGUUUAUAUUUUUGAGGCUAAUAUAAAUAGGAUUAUUUUUAAAUGUUAAUUUCUGAUUGUCUGUUGCUAACAUAUGGAAAUGCAAUUGAUUCUUUCUAAUAUAUUGCUUUGUUGCUUUGUUUACUUUCCUGCCUCCUGCUGGAUUGUUAGUAAAUUAUUUUCUUUGCCAUCAUCAUUAUUAUUUUAAAUCUGCUCUUUGGAAGCUAUAAAGUCUAUUCCAAUGUUUGUAUUAGUUUCGACUCUUAUAUUUUUAGCAUCUAUGUUUUGGGGCUUUAUUGUUUCUCUCCAGAAGUCUGCUGUAUGUCAGAUUAGGUUUCCUUUGUAGGUAAUCUUUUUUUUUCUGAUAGUUUUUCAUAUAUAUAUGUAUAUAUAUAUGUGUGUGUAUAUAUAUAUACAUAUAUAUAUACACACACACGUAUAUAUAUGUAUAUAUAUAUGUGUGUGUAUAUAUAUACAUAUAUAUAUACACACACAUGUAUAUAUAUGUAUAUAUAUACAUAUAUAUAUUUAUUUAUUCUGAAUAUUUUUAAGUUUAGCUCUUCUGCCUAGUAUAGAUUCAACACUACUCAUCCUGCUUGGUAUAUUACUUGCACUUUGAAUCUGAGGACUCAUAAUUCAGUUUAGGUGCAUUCCCGUCUUAUUUCUUCUCAUAGGGCUCUUUGCUAUUUCCUGUAUUCUCUUCCCAUAGAAUUUCUGUAAGAAGUCAUACUCCAUGUCAUUGUUCAUAAUUCUAAUCUUAUUCCUUCAUACUUCAUUCCUGGUGAAUUUCUCAGGGCAACCUUCCAACUCAGAAACUCUUUACCUAUGUUUAGACCUAUUGUCUUGUCUACUGGAUUGUUUUAAAUCUUAAUAACUAUGCUUUUCAUUUUCAAGAUUUCUUUUUUUAUAUUAAAUGUAAUUUAUUGUCAAACUGGUUUCCAUACAACACCCAGUGCUCAUCCCAACAGGUGCCCUCCUUAAUGCCCCUCUUUCCUCUCUCCCCCACCCCCCAUCAACCCUCAGUUUGUUUUUGGUAUUUAAGAGUCUCUUAUGGUUUGCCCCCCUCCCUCUCUGUAACUUUUUUUCCCCUCCCUUCCCCCAUGGUCUUCUGUUAAGUUUCUCAGGAUCCACAUAUGAGUGAAAACAUAUGGUAUCUGUCUUUCUCUGCCUGACUUACUUCACUUAGCAUAACAUUCUCCAGUUCCAUCCACGUUGCUACAAAAGGCCAUAUUUCAUUCUUUCUCACUGCCACGUAGUAUUCCAUUGUGUAUAUAAGCCACAAUAUCUUUUUUUUUCAAUAUAUGAAAUUUAUUGUCAAAUUGGUUUCCAUUCAACACCCAGUGCUCAUCCCAAAAGGUGCCCUCCUCAAUACCCAUCACCCACCCUCCCCUCCCUCCCACCCCCCAUCAACCCUCAGUUUGUUCUCAGUUUUUAAGAGUCUCUUAUGCUUUUAAGCCACAAUAUCUUUAUGCAUUCAGGCUCUUUCCAUAAUUUGGCUAUUGUGGAAAGUGCUGCUACAAACACUGGGAGUACAAGUGCCCCUAUGCUUCAGCACUUCUGUAUUCCUUGGGCAAAUUCUUAGCAGUGUUAUUGCUGUGUCAUAGGGUAGAUCUAUGAGAUGGAAAAACAUUCCAUGCUCAUGGAUUAGAAGAAUAAAUAUUGUUAAAAUGUCAAUACUACCCAAAGCAAUCUACACAUUCAACACAAUCCAAAUCAAAAUUGCACCAGCAUUCUUCUAAAAGCUAGAACAAGCAAUCCUAAAAUUUGUAUGGAACCACAAAAGACCCCAAAUAGCCAAAGUAAUAUUGAAGAAGAAAACCAAAGUGAGAGGCAUCACAAUCCCAGUCUUUAGCCUCUACUACAAGGCUGUAAUCAUCAAGACAGUGUGGUAUUGGCACAAAAACAGACACAUAGACCAAUGGAAUAGAAUAGAGACCCCAGAAUUGGACCCACAAAUGUAUGGACAACUAAUUUUUGACAAAGCUGGAAAGAGUAGCCAAUAGAAAAAAGACAGUCUCUUUAACAAUGGUGCUGGGAGAACUGGACAGCAACAUGCAGAAGAAUAAAACCAGACCACUUUCUUACACCAUUCACAAAAAGAAAUGUGAUGAAGGACACAUCCUCAAAAUGGAUGAAGGACCUGAAUGUGAGACAGGAAACCAUCAAAACCCUAGAGGAGAAAGCAGGAAAAAAACCCUCUUUGAUCUCAUUUUCAAGAUUUCUAAUUGGCUCUUUUUCUCAUUCACCUAUUGUCUUAUUUCUGUCUGUUUUGUUUCAUUAUUUCUGAUUAUUUUAUAAUGAUUGCUCAUAAUUUAUCAUUUUGAAGCAUUAAGCACACUAAUUUUCAGAUCUUUCUCUUCUUUCCCUGCUAUUUUAAUCUUACCUGGCUUGAAUUAAUCUCCCAGUAGUUGAUUUUGUUGGCUUGUCCUCAGCAUUUUAGUUCUUUGUGUAUUUGAGCAUUUUGGUUUAUAAGCUUUUCUCAUAUUAUAAGAUCUUUCUGUCUUCAUGCCAGUCCCACUACCCUCUUCCUUCUGAGGAGUUUUGUGCCUGCUUUCACGUGGUCUUCUAGGGCUUUUUAAUCCAGAACCAGUUUAGGGGAUAUUUAAGAUUUGAUUACCUAGCCAGACGUCUUGUCUGUUUGGUAGGCUGUAUUUGUGUGUGUGCAAAAGGAAAAUACCAAAGCAUAAUCUUAAGAUACCAUAUUGACUGAAAUUGUGUUUUUUGCGUGCAAAAUAAGUGGCCACUUCAAAGAGAACUCUUUUGGAGAAGCAAUGGUAUAAAUAUUUUCAGAAUCAAGUCAAUAUUCACAAGCAUAAAUGAAUGUUUUCCAAAAUUCUAUGGAAGUAAUUUUGUUUUCCUCAUGCACUAUCUCCAGAGAUUUUUAGAUUUUCAUUUACCUCUGCAGGAACAAGGUUUUCUAUUUAAGUCUUGGUUAUUUUGUUUUAAAAACCAUGGAUUAGAUAACUUAUUUAUUUCAAGGCAAUACUCAAACUCAUGGUAUUCAGUGAUGUGCAGGGUAGCCUAGUGAGAAGGUCAAUUACAAGUAUGUCAGGAGUUCACCAGAGUCUAUUUCUUGUGAGGAUUUCAACUGGAGGAUGGGACUGGGCAGGGAAAUAACUAUUGGAUAUUUUUGAUUUCCCCAUCAUCCUAGAAUUAAAGCCAGCACCUGACAAACAUACCAACAGAGUUCUGAAAUGGCAGUUCUAUGCAGGAAAAAUAGCAUGUAGGCAUAUUUAGAUGUCAGAUCCAUGAUGGUAGAAUUAUCUGCAAGGGAGGAGGGGCAGGCUUAUUUUAAUUCAAUUGCUUCCUUGGAAAAACAUAUUUGUCAAGAAUCAGUACUGUGUCCCUGACUGGAGAGUCCAGGGUAUUUUUCAUUGAUUCCAUAGCUGGAAAACUCCCAAGUGUGGGCUUAGGGCCACCAAAACGAAUAAUUUCACCUAAAGUUGGAUUGUCCUUGCUCAGUGAUAAUUCCCUCCGGAAAAGAAAAGUAGAAUUGACACUGCUUGCUGAACCACCCAAUGCUAGAUCCAAAGAAAUACAGAAACUUGAUUUUUGAACACUUUCAUCUGAAUUUAAGCCUCUUGGGUGAUACAAUGGAAAACAACAUUUCUUUACAGUGAAAAUGCGUCUGGCAGCUCCUCAAUAUACAAAGUUCAACUUUAGGGCAAAGAAAAAGAAACAUUCAUUAUGUAAUCAGGUCAAAUUAUUGGUUACUAAGAAGAGUUCCCAAUUUAAGUCUCAUCUAUUAUAUGAAGUAGAUAUUGAGUCUUCUAUUCUGCCAGUGCCAUUUUAAUCCCAGCAGUUCUAUAUUCUAAAUAUUUUAACCUUGGAGAACUUUCCCCAGGGCCUCUUACUUAGUUAGGUAUUGUUAUGUAGUCACACCAUAGCAUCAAUGAAGACAGGAUUGAUCCCUUCUUACUGUUCACAGGACUUGCCAAUAACUAAAUGAAACUGAUGUUAUUAAUAUAGAGAGGUAGUUUUCUAAAUUCCCAGGCAAAGAGGGGCAGGAGUGGGAGGUGAAGGCGGAGCAGAGAUCCCUCCAAAUUGCAGUUUAGGUGAUGGAUGUGGAGACUCCAUUUUUCUCUCUCUCUUCUCUUUCCUUCUCCGUUUAAUUCAACCUUUAAAUCUCAAGACAUACAUUUUCAGUCUUUCCACCUACAGCAAAGUCACAGACUGACAUUAUGUUUGCUGGGUAUGAAAGGUUUUGAAAACUUAGACCACCUGACGAAAAAAUCAUAAACAUCUAAAAACUCAAAUUUUUUACUUCUCAUGAAAAACUAGAGAAUCUGGCUACCCAAAGCUCAUACUCCAUCAAGGAAAUAACUGGCAGGUUUUCGGUAGUGGCAAAAGUUCUCCACUUAGGCAAGGUUCCAACUUUGCUUGUUUCCAUCAUUGUAUUAACAGCUAGGCCUUUAGGCAUUCAAGCUUGUAAUUCAUGGUACAAAGCAUAUCAUUUCCAUUAUUAUUUGUUCAUCAGCAAAUGCUUAUUGAGAAUCUCUGUUCUAAGAUCUGAAGCUACAGACAUAGUCCCUGCCCUCACAGCACUUAUAUUCUAGUGGGGAGAGGCAGAUAGUCACAAAUAAAAUCUAUUAUAAAAUGUUAGGUGAAAAGUAUUAUAAAGAAAAAUAAAGCAUGAUGAUUCAGACUAUACUACAUCUCCUUGGACACAUAGGGAGAUGAUACUUCUCUGCCCACUUGUAUUUUAGUUGGUUUUGGCCAGUGAAAUGUGAGUGGUCUGUGUCACGUCUGGAUUUAAGCAUUUAUUUGCUGGCCUUGACUCUCCACCUCACUUCACCUUGUCAUGGCAAGUUUGCUGGCUCAUACUGAUGAGAACUCAUGGAGGAUAACUGGCUGGAAGAAUUGCCCAGAUCGGCAGUAGAUUUCUAUUGGUGAUAAACCUUUUUUAAAAAGCCACUGACGUUUGGGGAGUAGUUGUUAAGGCACCAUAAUGUAUAUUAUCCUGACUGAAAGCACAGUAAGGAGUUAAGGGGUCAUAGGAGAGAGAUGCUGAAAUUGUAGAUUGGAUUCUUUCUGAGAAGGUGACGUUUGAUUGGAGUAAGUGGAUGUGCUGUUGGAAUAUGUAAAGGCAGACUAUUCCAGAUCAGGGAAUAGUAUAGUGCUGUGUAUAUUCUUGUAAGGUAGGCUCAAAAACUCAAUGAUUAUGGGGUUUCACUCCUCUUCUCCAAGUUUUUUACUAAAAUGAACAUACUAAAGUAAAUGGAAUAGUCUGUAAUUUUACUGCUAGCAUUUUGUUCCCCACCUAGAAUUUUGUGAUUGCUGUGACCUACUUUCUAUCUGAUUUCAGCCCAUGAUCAGGGAUUUCAGACUCCAUCAACACAUUCAUGUGAACUGUCAGCAGCAACAGGGCCAGACAGCUUUCAUCAAUAUGUGAAGAUUUGAGCUUAUUCCCAAAGGAACAAAAGACAGAAUAACAUGCUCUAUUUCAUUUGUUUCCAUUGGCCUGUGAUGAUUCUGUUUUAAAGAAACAUAUAAAGUAAAUCAGCUCAAAGAUAAAGGCAAUUUAAUGUGUUUUUCAGUCAUGAGAAUUGUCUUGGAUAUAUGCAAUUACUUUUUCUCUGUGUGUUAUACUGAUGUUCAAAUGAUACCAUGAAUAAGCAUUAUUUGCCUGUUCCCCAGUGCCAUCCAUUUAUCCAGUCUAUAAUAAUCUAAAUCCUGAUUUUUCUUUUUUAAACACACAAAAGUACAUGUUUUCUGUGUUCUCCUUUGUAUACUUUAACUCACUGUGGUGAACUUGAUGUUCUUGUGUGCUUUGGCCACCAGUUUAAAUAUGAACUGAUGAUAAUAGUGAUUAAGAUGGAGUGGGUUAACCUCAUUAGCCAUCUCUAACUUUUUCUUUCAUUUACUAUUCUCUUCAUUUCUGAAGACAUCUGAAUCUAGUCAUUUCUUGAUUGCAUAUUUAUUUCUGACUUGCAUUCCUGGAGCCCAAGAACUGUGUCCUCUUCCACCCUUUCCCUCAGCACCAUGUACCUGAACACAGGAAAUGUUAGAAUGCUAGAAGGUAGAGUGUAGAGUGUGUCACAUUGGAAGAAGUUCUAUGAAAGAUGAGGAAGAAGAUGUUGGUCUUGGCUUCCUGGAAGGGUGAAUGAGGAGGGAAAUGGGUUUUGUGGAACGGAAGGGAUUUUGGUGAACAGGGAGGAGGGCAGAGACAUUCCAAUGGUCAGAAACAAUCUACAUAAUGAAGAGUUACUCUCAGGGUAAGGAAAUAACCCAGACACUGCUCUCCAAGCUUUUGUCUAAUUCCUCCAAAAUUACAUAGAUUUAAAUCUUAAACUGGACCAGAAUAAGGGAGAAAGUGUAGGCCCUUUUGACUAGAGUUAUUUAUUUAUUAGUGGUCAAGAGAGUAAAAAUAGGGUAAAAAUAACCCUGAAUAGAGAAAAAAAGGGAAUAAGACAGCCAAUUUAUUAAAAUAGCAGAAGUAUGUGAAGCAGAUGGAGAAAAUGUAAACCUCCACAUGCUUAUCAAUAAUAUUUCUCCCAUGAGAGGAAAACAAGGACACAAGAGAAUGAAGAAGGUAAAGUAGACCUGUCUGGGAAUUUUUCCAUAUGUAAAAUAAGGAUACUAUUAUUUCAUUGUUUCAUAUUUGGGUUUUAUCCUGAAAUGUUAAACAAUAUUUCAUGAAACAGGAUAUGCUCUAAUGAAUAGCAUAGGUUAGCACUAUUUUUUUAGUAUUAUAAUAUUACAGAAUAAAAUAAAAUGUGGACUUUUUCUUGGCCUUUUGUCAUAGGGCCGAGAGAUUCACUUAAGUGCAUGAGAGCUUUAAAAAAAAUCAUAAACAUGGAGAACAAACUGAGGGUUACUGGAGGGGUUGUGGGAGGGGGUAUGGGCUAAAUGGGUAAGGGGCACUAAGGAAUCUACUCCUGAAAUCAUUGUUGCACUAUAUGCUAACUAAUUUGGAUGUAAAUUUUAAAAAAUGAAAAAUAAAGUUUGAAAAAAAAUCAAGUGCUCUGGAUGAGGCUUAGAUUCCAGUAGUUACACUAUUAUUUGAAUUAGGUCAACCAACCUGUUUUUCCUCUAACUCUUUACAAAAGUUGGUAGCAGUAUGGAACCUGAAGUUUUCAGAAGUGAGAGGACCCAGGAUGGGGAGAAAGAAUGGACAGUGGGAGAUGUGGAGGGCACCAGAGCAGGACACUGAGUAGUCAGAGGGCAGUAAGAUAGUGCUGGUCACCUUUGGUAAUAGGUUCCAAAAUUUGGGAAAGAUUUGCUAAAUGGAACAUGGGAGAGACAAAAAUAUCUUUAUACUUCACAAUUUGAUUUAGAGUAGAACUGAUUCCAGGACAGUUAGAAAAAUGGUUCAUGCAUCCAGAUGGCAAACAGACACGUGAAAAGACGCUCAACAUCACUCAUCAUCAGGGAAAUACAAAUCAGAUACCACCUCACACCUGUCUGAAUGGCUAAAAUUAACAACUCAGGAAACAGCAGAUGUUGGCAAGGAUGUGGAGAAAAGGGAACCCUCUUGCGCUGCUGGUGGGAAUGCAAACUGGUGCAGCCACUCUGGAAAAUUGUGGACGUUCCUCAAAAAAUUAAAAAUAGAACUACCCUAUGACACAGCAAUUGUACUACAAGGUAUUUAUCCAAAGGAUAUAGGAGUGCUGAUUAGAAGGGACACAUGCACCCCAGUGUGUAUAGCAGCACUAUCGACAAUAGCCAAUGUAUCAAAAGAGCACAAGUGUCCAUUGACUGAUGGGCAGAUAAAGACGUGGUUUAUAUAUGCAAUGGAACACUAUUUGGCCAUGAAGAGAAUGAAAUCUUGCCAUUUGCAACAACAUGGAUGGAACUGGAGAGUAUUAUGCUAAGCAAAAUAAGUCAGUCAGAGAAAGGCAGAUAUCACAUGAUUUUACUUAUAUGCGGAAUUUGAGAAACUUAACAGAUGUUCAUAGGGGAAGGGUAGGAAAAAUAAGAUAAAAUCAGAGAGGGAGGGAGGCAAACCAUAAGAAACUCUUAAAUACCGAGAACAAACUGAGGGUUGAUGGCGGUGGGGAAAUGGGUGACGGGCAUUAAGGAGAGCACUUGUUGGGAUGAACACUGGGUGUUACAUGUAAGUGAUGAAUCACUGGAUUCUACUCCUGAAACCAAAACUACACUGCAUGUUAACUAACUUGACAAUAAAAUAAAUAAAUAAAUAAAUAAGUACUUUAGCAAAAGAAAAAAAAUAAAAGUCAUUUUAUCAAAAAAAAAAGGGAAAGAAAAAAUUGUUCAUGAAUGAAAACUUGGGAAGGAGGUAGUACAAGCUAAAUCACGCCAGUGGUACAUGUCACAGCUAAGUGCAUAAGUGGUCCCUCAAUUUGAGAACUGCUAGGGGAAGGGAAGGGGAAAGAGAGAUAGGCAAGUGGGGAAAGGUUGGCCUCUUAGUUUUUGCUAUUAGUCUUAUCAUUUUCUGGGUUCACUCAGUAGUGGAUUCAGAGAAUCAAAAAAAUCCAGGCAUGUCAAGAAAGAACGACAAAUGGUAAUAUGGCAGUUAACGAGUAGUCAGUCACGCCAGCGUGCCAGUCUGCAGAGAAAAGCAGGGCUGAACCUCGGGGUCUGCUGGCUUUUGGCCUUGGACCUUUGCUCAGAUACGGGAGCCUGACAAAAAAGCUUCUUGGCAAACCGUCCUGCCAACCUCCCACUGCUAUGGUUUUACAUUUGUUUCUCUUGCUUAUAGCUUGAAUAUAUUAAAAAGUUUAAAUUUUUUUAAUGUUUAUUUUUGAGAGACAGACCAUGAGCAAGGGAGGGACAGAGAGAAAGAGGGACAAAGUAUCUGAAGGGGGCUCUGUGCUGACAGCAGCGAGUUGGUCACAGGGCUCAAACCCACAAACUGUGAGAUUAUGACCUGAGCCGGAGUUGGGUGCUCAACUGACUGAGCCACCCAGGCACCCCCUAAAAAGUUUACACUAAAUCAUGUAGCAUAGGGUGAAAACAAGUCACAUAAAGACCAUAAAUUUUUCAGGACUGGCAUUUUGUAAUUUUUAUAAGAGGAGAGACCUGCAUUUUGAAUUGCUUAUUAUCUGUCUUCACCUGUGUGGUCUCAUCUACAUCUUGGACUUGGUAAUGGUCAUAAAUAAAUGCAUCAUUUUCUUCCCAUGGCAGUUCUUUCUACAAGAUUCUCUGUUUCUUUAAUGAUACCCUCAAUUCUUCUUUCCAUUCCAAGAAUGGAAGUGCUAUUUAACAUCGCUGUUAUUGUCCCUGUGCCACUUUCACUCAUUUUCCAGGUCCUAUUGGUUCUUCCUCAAUACAUCUAUUAUGCUGCUCCUUCUGAUUGGCCCCAUGUCCUGAUGCUGGAUGUUUCUUGUAAGGGCACAGUUUAAAUUAAGUCAAUCCUCUGCAUAGUCCCCUGUUUAAAAUUUUGUCAUGGUCUCCAUUGACUAAGAGUCCAUUUAUACUCCCUCUUUACCUUUUUGUGCUAUUGUUGACACAUAUUUGACUUCCACAAACAUAAACAUAUACAUUUUUCAUUUUUCUUUAAACAUUUAAUUGACUUUUCAGAAAUUUAAUUUAAAAAGAAAAAUCUUUUAUAUCCAACUACAUGUUCAGCUAUCUUCAGUGUCUUCAUUCCUUUCUGUAAAUCCAAAUAUCUACCUAUUAUCAUUCCCCUUUAAUCUAAAUAUUUUGUUUUAGUAUUUCCUAUAGUGUUGCUUUGCUUGUGACAAAUCAUCUCAGUUUUUGUUCAUCUGAAAAUGUCUUCAUUUAACCUUAAUUUUGGAAAGAUACUUCACUGAUAAUGGACUUAAAAGAUAACUUUACAUUGUUUCCUGGUCUCCAUUAUUUUCUGAUGAAAAGUCAGUUAAUAUUUUAAUCUUUAUUCCCAUGUAUGUAAUAUGUCUUUUUUCCCCCUCUCUCAGUUAAGAUAUUUUUUCCCUUAACUUUGUUGUGCUUAGUUGUAUAUUCUGCAUUAGUUCACUGAGAUUCCUGGAUCAAUGGGUUGUUGUUUUUGAAUCAAAUUUGGAAAAACUUUGUCAUAUAUUUCUUCAAAUUUUUCUUUCUUAUUUCUACCCUUCCACAACUUUAGUUCUUUCUUGGACGCCAAAUACAUAAUUUUAGACCACUUGGUAUUGCCUUCACAGGUUGGUGAAGCUUUCUUGAUUAUUUUGCAAUUUUUUUUCCUCUCAGCUUCAGAUUGAAUGAUUUUAUUGACCUGUCUUCAACUUUAGUGGUCUUUUUUUCUGUUGUGUCCACUCAGCUGCCAAUCACAUCUAAUGAAUUUUUUUAAUGUAAGAUAAUGUAUUUUUCAGUUCUAGGCUUUCCAUUUUGUCCCUUCCUGUGGUUUUCAUAUCUUUUCUGAAAUUCCUAUUUCUUCACUAAUUAUAUUCAAUUUUUCAUUUAGGUCUCUUAGCAUAUUUUUCAUAGUUAAUUUUAAAUCCUUCUCAUAUAAUUUCAGAAUUUCCAUUAUUUAUGAAUCUGUUUCUUUUGACUAAUCCUCCUCUUGACUCUAGAUCACAUUUUUUUGUUUGUUUAUUUGUGCUUAAUAUUUAUUAUUCUAUAAUUAACACAAUGACUGAAACCUAGUAGAGAAAGUUAAUUCUGUCAUUUUCUUCUGGAAAGUGUUUUUUCCUGUUGAAUUUUGUUCCAGUCAGGAAUUAAAUUAUUGGCAUAUUAUCUUGAACAAAUGUUGAUUUGCCCUCAGUCCUGAAACAUGGGGCCUUUGGGAAGUAAUUAGGUCAUGAGAGUGAAGCUUUUAUGAUGAGAUUUGCACCCUUAGAAAAGGAGACAGAAGAGAGCUUGCUUCCCCCCCUCUACCUUCUCUGCCGUGUGAGGAUACAGAGAGAAGGUAGCUGUCUACAAGCCAGGACGCAGCUUCUUAUAAGAAGCCAACCAUGUUGGCAACCUGAUCUCAGACUUCUAGCCUCCAGAAGUGUAAGAAAUAAGUACUUGUUGUAAGCCAUCCAGUCUAUGGUAUAUUUGUUAUAGCAGCCUGAGCUGACUAAGACAGUGGAGAAGGCAUGGCUCUUCUGGAGAUUAUUGAUAGAUUGAACUUUUGGUAAGUCCCUCUAACUCCCAACUCUGGCUCUCCUACAUUGGGAAGCUGCUACAAUCUUUUCUUAGGUCUUUCAGCAUUCUCUAGGUGAUUUUUCUUUGUUCUUCCUGCUGAGUUUCUUGAAGUCUCCCCUCUCACAUGAACAGUUCAGCAGUCAGCCAAGAAUUAAGAGUAGUUUAUAUGCAGGUUUUGAGGUUCCCUUUCUGUAACUUCCUUCUCUCAGGGAUUUGACUCCUCAAUUUCUAGCCACUCUAUCAGUCCCAAACUCUCUUAUCUUCUGAUCCUAUAAUAAGACUAAGGUUUUGUUUCCAGCUCGGUGGAUCUGAAACUGCCUCCAGUGGCAAAGCCAUGGGUGGAUCUCAAUCAGUGUGGGUCCUUUUUGUCAAGACUCAAAGCUCUUUCAGUUUCUGCCUGCAUUUGAUUACUGCCCAGUGUUUCCAAACAGUUGGUUUCAAUUUUUUUGGUCAGAGUUUAUAACUGUAUACUUUGGGAGUGUUAGUCAAACGCAAGAUACUCUGCCAGUUGCAUAAAACCAGAAUCUUUCUAUUAACUAUGAAUGAAUUCAAAACUCCACAUCUGGCUUUUAAGAUUCUCUAGGAAAAAUCUCCACUGUCUUAGUCAGCUCAGGCUGCUAUAACAAAUAUACCAUAGACUGGAUGGCUUAAACAACAAAUGCUUAGCGCUUACACUUCUGGAGGCUAGAAGUCUCAGAUCAGGUUGCCAACAUGGUUGGCUUCUUAUAAGAAGCCGUUUCCUGGCUUGUAGACAGCUACCUUCUCUCUGUAUCCUCACACAGCAGAGAUGGUAGAGGGGGAAAGCAAGCUCUCUUCUGUCUCCUCUUCUAAAGGUACAAAUCUCAUCAUAAAGGCUUCACUCUCACGACCUAAUUACUUCCCAAAGGCCACAUCUCCACAUAACACCACUUUGGGAAUUAGGAUUUCAAUAUAUGAGUUUUGGAGGAAAACAAACUUUCAGUUCAUAGCACAAAUCUUCCUUUUUUACUCCAUCUUCCGCGUCUCCCUUUAUUCAUGCUCAAUUCCUGCCAAUUUGACACUUUGUGUUCUUCCCAAGUUUGUAUCUGGGCCUCUGCUUGUCUUUCCCCCUCUCUUCUUCUAUCUUAACAUGUCCAAAGCUAUUGUCAGAAUUCUUGUGAGCUACUAACUCUUCUCUGGUAGACUCAGGAGUCAGGCACAGAUUAAAAUGAUCGCUUUUAGUAUUGAUAAAGAAACUUGAAGAAAGAUGCUUUAAGGAUCUCUUACUGCAUGGCAGAAAAUAGACCAGAAUGUAAGAGUCAUGCAGAUGGGCUCUAGCUGAAGAGAAACCAGAAGGGGUCAAGCUGAGCAUGUUCCGUUUCUGCUCUCAAACUCACUAUUUAACUCUUAUGGGAGGAGUAAUGAGAGAGGAGACAGACCAGGAGUGUUCCUAUGGCUGAGGUUCUUCCAUGUGGAAGCAUGCAGAAAGGAGAGUAAAUGGCCUCUUCAUCCCCGCUCCCCAGAAUGUUAACCAGGACUCAAUUCUCAGUCAUCCUUUUGGCAAAUCCUCCACUGUGCACCUUCUACCUUGAUGUGGUCUCUCUGUGAAUGCUCAUUUUAACUUAUCUGAACUUUUUAAAUAGCACUUAUUCUACCUUGUAAGUAUAGUAAUUUAUCUAUUUCACUGUGACCUCUCCUCUUUUCUAGAAUCUCCUUAAAAUGGAGCUAUUUAUUACUAUUCAUGCUCUCAUAUUUCCCAAUUAUUAACACAGUAACUGACAAAUGGCAAGCCCUCCAUGAGUAUUUAUAGAAUGAGAAAAUGAGUAAGUGAAAUGAGCCAUGAAAAAAAAAAUGCAGGUAGCUUAACCCAAAUAAGUUCAGGCAAAGAGGGAUCUAAUCAUUUAAAGCAGAAUAGACCAAGCCAUAGUGGGAAUGAAAGAAUAUAUUUCUGUUUACAGUAGCUAAUUGCUUCUCACUGGAGAAGGUGGUAAUGACAUCACCAGCACAGAUACUGCUUACGACCAUUAUCUUCUACUUCACAGCGUGAGAGAUGUUCUAGCAGGUGCGCUGGAAUUGAACCCAUGGGACAUCUAACAGCACUUCUUGGAGCCUCAGCCAGCCUCUCUAGAGGUUUUAAACAUCUUAAAUUACAUAAGAAAUUAAAAUGAUGGAAAUGAAUGAAUUAAAAUGGGGAAUUGGGAUUCCUCUUGAAGGUUAAUUUGAGACUCUUUCUUAACUAUGUUUAUCGAAUUCUGAGUUCAGAAAUAAUUAUUCAUUUUUACCUUUAUCCUUAGGUACUAUCAAAGAAUAUACUGGGAAGAAAGUUGUGAGUCAAAAAGUAAUUUUUACUGUCCCCUGUGACAGAAUUGUUACAUACUGUGAGCCUCUUAAGAAUUUUUAGGAAUUGUAAAUAUGAGAUAUAAUUCUUCUUUUUGUACUUAAGUCAGUGAAGUAUUCCGUCCCAAAUGAAGGCUUAUAAUAUGUUUUUCUUUUUGUAUUAUAAAGUUAAAUAUAAGGAUGAACAAAAUAAGAAAAAAAAUACUCUAAUCUCACCACUAGCAAUAACCAGUCUUAAUGUUUUGAUAUCUAGCUCUUCAUCAUUUUUCUAUGCAUACGUGUGUACAGCUAGCCAUGUAUGCACCUAUAUACACAUUUAGGAAAAUUAUAGCACAUAACUCUCUAGUUAAUUAACUUUUUAUUUUAUAAUGGUUUUAGAUUUAUAGAAAAGUUGAAGUUGUGAAGAUACUGCAGAUAUAACCCAUACCAGUUUUCCCAUUAUAUACUAAUAUUACAUAAUUAAUAUUACAUAUUAACAUAAGUUACUAAUGCCACAUAUCUAAUAAACCAAUUUGGUACACUGUUAUUAUUGAUACCAAUAUGAAUAUAUUAUCACUAACUAAAAUCUGUGAUUUAUUCAGACUUCUCUGGUUUUUACUUAAUAUUCUGUUUUUGUUCCAGGAUUCCAUCUACGAUACUACAUUACAUUCAGUUGCCAUCUUGCUUGGGCUUCUUGGACAGUAACUAUUUUUUAAACUUCUGCAUUCCUGGUGACAGUUUUGAGGAGUAUGUGCCACCUGGCCCACAGGAAAGUUACUCUUUUUCAGUAUGCAAGUGUUCUGAUUUCUCUACAUCCCCACCAAUACUUGUCUUUAAUUGGGUUGUGUUUUCUUAUUGUUGGGUUUUGUGAGGUUUUUGUACAUUUGGGAUAGAAGUACUUUAUCCAAUAUGUGAUAUUUGGCCUUUUUACCUUUUUAAUCAUAUCUUUUUCAGCAUAUGGUCUUUUACCUUGCUUUUUUAUUCACUCAACAAUAGGUCAUUAGCAUCUUUCCAUAUCAUUCUUCUGUAAUGUCACUUUUUAAUGGCUAUAAAUUACUGUAUUUUAUAAAUGUAACAUACAAUGUAUUAUUAUUGAACAAAUAUUUAGAUGGAUUUCAGUUUUUUAUUCUUACCAAAAAAGAGAAAACAGUGGUGGAUACUCUUAUAACUAGAUAUUCUGUUAAUAUUUACUUAAGAUAAAUGUCUUUAAGUUAAAAUUCUAUAUCCAAAGGUAUCAACAUUUUCUUUGUAUUAAGCUUAUUUAUUUAUUUUGAGAGACACAGAGAGCAAGUGGGGUAGGGGAGAAAGGGAGAGAGAGAAUUCCAAGCAGGCUCCUCACUGUCAGCUGGAGUCUGCUGCGGGGGUCGAACUCAUGAACUGUGAGAUCAUGACCUGAGCUGAAACCAAGAGUCGAACACUCAACCAACUGAGCCACCCAGAUACCCCAAAGGUAACAACAUUUUAAAGACUUUUGAUGGGACUGAUUGUCUUUUUUCCUGACUUCCAUCCUUAUAAAGCAUUUCAUUUCUUCUCUAGGUUAGAAUCAGAGGUAGGACACAAGUGCAUUUUGAAGUAUCAGAUGCUCUGAUAACUAGUAUGUUAAACACACAUAGAUCUGAGACAUCGGAUGCAUUCAGCCUCAAGGGAGACCUUCAUCCUACUCUUUCCACAAACGCUUCCAUUUGUUUCAGUUCAUAUUCUAUACUUUAAUUUAGGCCUCAUGUCCUCUAGGAAACCUGCCUACUAGUCCUCCCAUCUUGUUGAUGACUCCAAGUGAAGGUGCUUAAUGAGGCAAUCUGGAUGGUGUGUGUCCAAUUCCUCAGUUUGUGGAGUUAUCUGGGGUCCCUGUGGGAAUGGUCUUGGCCCCUUUGCUCAACAUUUCUUUCUCUCCUUUCUCAAGCUGGGUUCGUGUCCAUCCGCUGCAUUCCCUUGGCAUCGAAUCUUAG